rnacentral:rRNA from 1 species
AGCAGCCGCGGUAAUUCCAGCUCCAAUAGCGUAUAUUAAAGUUGUUGCAGUUAAAAAGCUCGUAGUUGAAUUUCGGGGUUCUACCGUUGGUCGGGCUAUUGUCUGUACUGGCGUGUGGAAUUUCUACCUUCUGGGGAACCAUCAUGUUAUUAAUUUAGCGUGGUGGGAAACCAGGACCUUUACCUUGAAAAAUUAGAGUGUUCAAAGCAGGCUUACGUCUGAAUACAUUAGCAUGGAAUAAUAAAGUAGGACGGUGGUCCUGUUUUGUUGGUUUCUGAAUCACCGUAAUGAUUAAUAGGGAUAGUUGGGGGCAUUAGUAUUCAAUUGUCAGAGGUGAAAUUCUUGGAUUUAUUGAAGACUAACUACUGCGAAAGCAUUUGCCAAGGAUGUUUUCAUUAAUCAAGAACG